rnacentral:rRNA from 1 species
AGAGUUUGAUCCUGGCUCAGGAUGAACGCUAGCGACAGGCUUAACACAUGCAAGUCGAGGGGCAGCGGGGGAUAAGCUUGCUUUUCCUGCCGGCGACCGGCGCACGGGUGAGUAACACGUAUGCAACCUGCCCCUGUCAGAGGGAUAAUCCGGAGAAAUCCGGUCUAAUAUCGCAUAAAGCGUUUGCGGGGCAUCCUGCGAGCGCCAAAGGAGUAAUCCGGACAGGGAUGGGCAUGCGGCGCAUUAGCUAGUUGGGGGGGUAACGGCCCACCAAGGCGACGAUGCGUAGGGGUUCUGAGAGGAAGGUCCCCCACAUUGGUACUGAGACACGGACCAAACUCCUACGGGAGGCAGCAGUGAGGAAUAUUGGUCAAUGGGCGGAAGCCUGAACCAGCCAAGUCGCGUGAGGGAAGACGGCCCUAAGGGUUGUAAACCUCUUUUGCCGGGGAGCAAAAGCGCCGUGCGCGGUGCUAUGAGAGUACCCGGAGAAAAAGCAUCGGCUAACUCCGUGCCAGCAGCCGCGGUAAUACGGAGGAUGCGAGCGUUAUCCGGAUUUAUUGGGUUUAAAGGGUGCGUAGGCGGACAGUUAAGUCAGCGGUCAAAACGGGCGGCUCAACCGCCUGCCGCCGUUGAAACUGGCAGUCUAGAGUGGGCGAGAAGUACGCGGAAUGCGCGGUGUAGCGGUGAAAUGCAUAGAUAUUGCGCAGAACUCCGAUUGCGAAGGCAGCGUACCGGCGCCCGACUGACGCUGAGGCACGAAAGCGUGGGGAUCGAACAGGAUUAGAUACCCUGGUAGUCCACGCAGUAAACGAUGGACACUAUCUGUUCGGGUCGAAUGGGAUCUGAGUGGCACAGCGAAAGCGUUAAGUGUCCCACCUGGGGAGUACGCCGGCAACGGUGAAACUCAAAGGAAUUGACGGGGGCCCGCACAAGCGGAGGAACAUGUGGUUUAA